rnacentral:rRNA from 1 species
UGGGGAAUAUUGCACAAUGGGCGCAAGCCUGAUGCAGCAACGCCGCGUGAACGAUGAAGGUCUUCGGAUCGUAAAGUUCUGUUGCAGGGGAAGAUAAUGACGGUACCCUGUGAGGAAGCCCCGGCUAACUACGUGCCAGCAGCCGCGGUAAUACGUAGGGGGCUAGCGUUAUCCGGAUUUACUGGGCGUAAAGGGUGCGUAGGUGGUCUUUCAAGUCGGUGGUUAAAGGCUACGGCUCAACCGUAGUUAGCCUCCGAAACUGGAAGACUUGAGUGCAGGAGAGGAAAGUGGAAUUCCCAGUGUAGCGGUGAAAUGCGUAGAUAUUGGGAGGAGCACCAGUAGCGAAGGCGGCUUUCUGGACUGCAACUGACACUGAGGCACGAAAGCGUGGGUAGCAAACAGG